rnacentral:lncRNA from 1 species
UAUUAACCUUCAUUUCUGUGUAAUUUAUUAUAAUUUAUAAUUAUUGCUCAAAGUAUCUAGUCAGAAAAUGAUAUGACUAUAGGCAUACAGUCAUGGUUUAUUUAACUAGGAAAUGCAUAUAAAAAGAUUGCCAUGGGUGAGGGGAUGUGAUGGAGAUUUGAACUGAAAAAGUGACACGUUUUGAUAAUGAAAAGUGCUUUUUUGGUAAUUGUAAUUCCAGAGAUUAUUGAUUUCUUUAAUAGUAGGUAAGUUUCCAUAAGUUUGACUGUACUAACCUACAAAUUCUCACUUGGCAUCCUUUUGGGGUAUUUUAACUUCAAAGGAUAUGUUAUGUACUGAGGAGUGGCCACUGGGGCGCAAUAUGGCUCUUGACAUUUUGAACGGUGUUAAAUGAUGGAUGAAAGUAUUUCAAAUAGCCACGUUUCAGCAUUGGUUAAAAAAUCCAGUGGGAAGAAUGGUGGUCCAUAUAACCCUGCAUACUUGAGAUUCUUUGGGUAUUAAUUUUGAAUGCAUUUCACAAGUUUAUUUCUUACAAAACAUAUUUAGAAUAAAUAAGACAAGUAAAAUUUUUACAGUUGUGUCUUAUGAAAUUUUAUUUUAUUUUUCAAUUGCUUUGAAGUAUUCUGUGAAGAAGUGGAAAGGAGUCAAACCAUGAUAUCAGUUUUUUUUUUCCCCCCAUGGUAUCAGUUUGAUUAUCUGUUUAUGUUAAUAAGGAUGUUGUUAGAGAGCAUAUUGUUAUGGAGCUUCUGUUGUAAACCCAAGAUUCUAAAACCAGUGUUUUAAGAGAGGCAGAUAAGUGAAAACACUUUGAGAAAAGUAAACAUCUUGUUUUUGUUAAUUUCCAAUUUGUUCCACAGUGAAAACAUGUCUACCCUGCUGUCUUUGUCUGUUAGUGGUGUUUCUUGGAUUAAAUAUGAGAGUCAAUAGUUAAGCCCUUUAGGAAGGCACCUCCUGAGGGAACAGGGACUUACUGGAUGUCUGUGCAUGUUGAAGUGACAGCCCUGUAUAUUGUGUCCUCUGCAGGGGGUGCUGUAGGUGGUAGCCAUAGAGAUCACAUUCACAGGCCUGGCUGCCUUCCUCAUUGUGGGGAAGAUGUUUGUCAUUGCAGAGACAUCUGGGAGAGGAGGUUCUCAAGGUGGUAUUGGCAGCUGUAGUGAACCUGUACUGGUUCCUUUGGGACAUUUCUCAUUGUUUCCUACACUGUCUUUUGGCUACUCCUAUCUUCCUGUUUUCAGGCUCUUAAACGUAUAACUGUUUAGUCUGCUACUGUUGCUGCUGCUAGGUUUUGCUUUUGUACUGGGGCUUGAACCCAGGGCCACAACACUGAGCUACAUCUCUAGUUUUAAAAACAUUUUUUUUUUUUUUAAAUAGGGUCUCCCUAAGUUGCUCAGGCUGGCCUUGAACUUGUGAUCCUCCUGCCUCAGCCUCCUGAGUGGCUGGUUUAUAGGGGUGCACCCAUGUGCCCCUUGGCCUGCUGCUUUUAAUAUCUUGAGGUAGAAUAUUUGUGUCCAAGUCUGUUUUUUCAAGUAUGUUCCCUUUAAAACAGGUUGCUUUUCUCCUCCCACAAAUAAUUAACUACAGGACUAGUCUCCCAAAGCAAUUGAAAAGAGAUCAUUUUGACAAAGCAAGCUUCUAAUGACAAGUAUUCCAACUAAAAAUAUAUAGAAGAAAAGUUUUCAGGUGAUGAAGAAGUUUAAUCAGGCAAAAAAGACAUUUUUAUUUGCAGAAAUUGGCCCUUUAGAGGGAAGCAAUUAUUUAUAGCUGAUUUGAAAAACUGGUAUACCUGAAUUCAUCUGGUAAACUGCAUUUAAAAUAGGAAGAUUAUUCUUGUUAUACUAUUGAAGGCAAAAAAAAAAAAAAAAAAAACUUGUACUGAAUUGUGUCACUGAAUGUAUAUUAAUGAAGCAUGGUUUUCUAGUUUAACUCUUCUAGGGAAACAUACUGCUUUACUCAAAGAAAGUGAAUUUGGGAUUUGAAUAAAAAGUCUAUAAAGAUGUCAAUGUGCUGAAAUUGCCAACUAUAGUUAAAAUAUCUUAUUAAAUGUGAUUGCUUUAGGAUUGUGUCCUUCCGCCUCUGUUUGAAUCUUUCUUUUUUUUCCUUUUCAAAACAGUGUUUCUUGAUUUUGUUCUAUAUCAAAGAGAAGGUUCACUGUUUUAAAGCCUCUCACAUGUCACCAACAUGA